GAUGAACGCUAGCGGCAGGCCUAACACAUGCAAGUCGAGGGGUAGAGGAAGCUUGCUUCCUUGAGACCGGCGCACGGGUGCGUAACGCGUAUGCAAUCUACCUUUUACAGAGGGAUAGCCCAGAGAAAUUUGGAUUAAUACCUCAUAGUAUAUAUCAUUCGCAUGUUUGGUAUAUUAAAGUUCCAACGGUAAAAGAUGAGCAUGCGUCACAUUAGUUAGUUGGUAAGGUAACGGCUUACCAAGACGAUGAUGGGUAGGGGUCCUGAGAGGGGGAUCCCCCACACUGGUACUGAGACACGGACCAGACUCCUACGGGAGGCAGCAGUGAGGAAUAUUGGUCAAUGGACGCAAGUCUGAACCAGCCAUGCCGCGUGCAGGAAGACGGUCCUAUGGAUUGUAAACUGCUUUUGUACGGGAAGAAACACUCCUACGUGUAGGAGCCUGACGGUACCGUAAGAAUAAGGAUCGGCUAACUCCGUGCCAGCAGCCGCCGUAAGAC
rnacentral:rRNA from 1 species